rnacentral:rRNA from 1 species
UAGGGAAUCUUCCGCAAUGGACGCAAGUCUGACGGAGCAACGCCGCGUGAGUGAAGAAGGAUUUCGGUUCGUAAAACUCUGUUGUUAGAGAAGAACAGCGCAUAGAGUAACUGUUAUGCGUGUGACGGUAUCUAACCAGAAAGCCACGGCUAACUACGUGCCAGCAGCCGCGGUAAUACGUAGGUGGCAAGCGUUGUCCGGAUUUAUUGGGCGUAAAGCGAGCGCAGGCGGUCAAUUAAGUCUGAUGUGAAAGCCCCCGGCUCAACCGGGGAGGGUCAUUGGAAACUGGUUGACUUGAGUGCAGAAGAGGAGAGUGGAAUUCCAUGUGUAGCGGUGAAAUGCGUAGAUAUAUGGAGGAACACCAGAGGCGAAGGCGGCUCUCUGGUCUGUAACUGACGCUGAGGCUCGAAAGCGUGGGGAGCGAACAGG